rnacentral:sRNA from 1 species
ACCCGCUCGGGAUCGACCUGGCGUGUCACCACGAGGUGGUCACGCAGCGCGAUGGAGUGGCGGUUGUC